rnacentral:rRNA from 1 species
UACGUAGGGUGCGAGCGUUGUCCGGAAUUAUUGGGCGUAAAGAGCUCGUAGGCGGCCUGUCGCGUCGGAUGUGAAAGCCCGGGGCUUAACCCCGGGUCUGCAUUCGAUACGGGCAGGCUAGAGUUCGGUAGGGGAGAUCGGAAUUCCUGGUGUAGCGGUGAAAUGCGCAGAUAUCAGGAGGAACACCGGUGGCGAAGGCGGAUCUCUAGGCCGAUACUGACGCUGAGGAGCGAAAGCGUGGGGAGCGAACAGG